rnacentral:rRNA from 1 species
GACGAACGCUGGCGGCGUGCUUAACACAUGCAAGUCGAACGGAAAGGCCCCUUUGGGGGUACUCGAGUGGCGAACGGGUGAGUAACACGUGAGUAACCUGCCCUUGACUUCGGGAUAACUUCAGGAAACUGGGGCUAAUACCGGAUAGGAAUCCUUGCUGCAUGGUGGGGGUUGGAAAGCUUCGGCGGUUUUGGAUGGACUCGCGGCUUAUCAGCUUGUUGGUGGGGUAGUGGCUUACCAAGGCUUUGACGGGUAGCCGGCCUGAGAGGGCGACCGGCCACAUUGGGACUGAGAUACGGCCCAGACUCCUACGGGAGGCAGCAGUGGGGAAUAUUGCACAAUGGGCGGAAGCCUGAUGCAGCAACGCCGCGUGCGGGAUGACGGCCUUCGGGUUGUAAACCGCUUUCAGCAGGGGCGAAGCUUUUGUGACGGUACCUGCAGAAGAAUUACCGGCUAACUACGU